GCAAAAUCAGAACAGGAGAUGGAGGGAGGAGAGAUUUCUUUUUCUUUGUAAUGUCUUGAAAGGUAGAUUCUUAAUUGAAGCUCACAUAUUUAAUUUUCAGAACGUCAUCAUUUGAACUGUUCUGCUGCAUCUUUGAGCAGAAAAGAAUGUUUAGAAACCCAGUAUCCAUAUUGACUGUCAUAUACAUGUACUCAGAAUUCUUGGGGAUUUUGGCACUUUGGUAUAAACAUGAAGAUUUUAACAGUUAAG
rnacentral:misc_RNA from 1 species